CCUACGGGAGGCUGCAGUGGGGAAUAUUGGACAAUGGGCGAAAGCCUGAUCCAGCCAUGCCGCGUGUGUGAAGAAGGCCUUCGGGUUGUAAAGCACUUUCAGUGGGGAAGAAAGCCUUGGGGCUAAUACCCUCGAGGAAGGACAUCACCCACAGAAGAAGCACCGGCUAACUCCGUGCCAGCAGCCGCGGUAAUACGGAGGGUGCGAGCGUUAAUCGGAAUUACUGGGCGUAAAGCGCGCGUAGGCGGUCUGAUAAGCCGGUUGUGAAAGCCCCGGGCUCAACCUGGGAACGGCAUCCGGAACGGUCAGGCUAGAGUGCAGGAGAGGAAGGUAGAAUUCCCGGUGUAGCGGUGAAAUGCGUAGAGAUCGGGAGGAAUACCAGUGGCGAAGGCGGCCCUCUGGACUGACACUGACGCUGAGGUGCGAAAGCGUGGGUAGCAAACAGGAUUAGAUACCCCUGUAGUC
rnacentral:rRNA from 1 species